CCAAUAGUUAGAAUCUGGUGGGAUCAUGAGUGGGUACAUAACUGGAGACAAGGACUCUCUUUUUUCUAGAAUCUGCCUAUCACCAGGACAUCAGCAGCAUGUGUUGAGUCCCUUUGAGCUCUUUUCACAUCCCUGGCUAAGAGAUAAGAGGACCACUCUUGUGAAAUUUGAUGCCAAUGGUGUUUUGCACUUUUCAUUGUUAGCUCCAAGCCCUGGAAGGUUGAACUUAAGAUGCUGAAGAAGCAAUGCAAAGAUAUCUAAUCAGCUCCAGUACACCCUUCCACUCUCACUUUUCUUUUAAAUGAAUAAAGAUGCUUGUAAGAUCAUGGGCCACCACAAGC
rnacentral:lncRNA from 1 species